GGGAUAUGGCGAAAUUGG
rnacentral:tRNA from 1 species